rnacentral:tRNA from 1 species
GGCUCCAUGACCCAAUGGUGGGGCAGCGGAUUCCAAAUCCGAAGGUUGUGGGUUCAAGUCCAUUGGGGUCA